rnacentral:tRNA from 1 species
GGCGGGGUGCCGGAGCGGCCGAACGGCGCAGUCUUGAAAACUGCUGAGCCCGGGAACGGGCUCCGUGGGUUCGAAUCCCACCCCCGCCG